rnacentral:rRNA from 1 species
UACGUAGGGGGCAAGCGUUAUCCGGAAUUACUGGGUGUAAAGGGUGAGUAGGCGGCAUGGUAAGCCAGAUGUGAAAGCCUUGGGCUUAACCCGAGGAUUGCAUUUGGAACUAUCAAGCUAGAGUACAGGAGAGGAUUGCAGAAUUCCUGGUGUAGCGGUGAAAUGCGUAGAUAUCAGGAGGAAUACCGUUAGCGAAGGCGGCAAUCUGGCUGGAAACUGACGCUGAGGUGCGAAAGCGUGGGUAGCAAACAGG